rnacentral:lncRNA from 1 species
AGACAAAAACUUAAAAGGUGCUAUUAUUGACAAUUGCCUAAAGAAAAAUUGGUAACAUGCGAGAGUUCUAAAAAAACAAAGUAUAUAUUACAAAGAUACAUACAUAAGUAAAUACAUCCAUAUAUGUAUAUAUGCCGUCAGGUUCAACCACCGUCCUCCUCCGUCAACCACCGCCUUCCUCCGCCAAAAAAGCUGUGGAGCUUCCCCUGCGUCGUCUUCUUCACUGUCAAGAUCUCUUAUCCACCGCCGUCAAGUUUCUGCUCCGUCACCUACCUUCUCCUUGAAGUAGCCUAAAAAAAAAAACAAAACAAAUCAAUUAGAAAUAGCGGAGGUGAAAGCAGAGAAUAGGAAGACGAAGAGAGGUGGCCUGGUGGGCGGUGGUGAUGGUGAGUAGGUAAAACCGAUGAGAAGGUGAAGCCAUGAGUCGAUUGCAGUGGCGGAGCCACCUUGGCGAGAGGGUGGUCAAUUGACCCAUGUGAAACCUAUAAAUAUUAAGUUUUAUGUUUUUACAAUGUUGUUUCUGUGGUAAAUUGGUCAAAAUAUCUAAGUUUGACCCACAUGUCAUGGGUUCAACUCUCAUAUAUGUUAUUUUUUAUCUAUAAUAAUUGAAUUAUGACCCAUGUGGAACUUUGGUCUAGCUCCGCCACUGGUCGAUUGUUACAGAGAAUGAGUAGAAUGAAAGAAGAAAACUCAGAGGAAGGAGAGAGGAAAAGAGAAAAAAAGGAAGAAGAAAGAAACGCAAAUGAUUGUGUCCAUUAGAUGGAUGUUACAAUCAACGGUUGAAAUAGUUUCAGUCAAUCCAAGUCUUUCUUUAUCGACCAAUCAUAUAUUUAUCUUCUUUUUUGCAUUUUCUUAUCAGCCAAUGGGAAAGCACAUGGGAGUGAGUACACGACAACACAUAAAAAUGUCUCCCUUCUUAUUGUGUUUAUGAUAUUCAGACAGUUGAACCAAAAAAAGAUAUUCAGACACGUUUUAAUUUAAUUUUUUUGUGUGUUUGCAACUAGUAUUUUUAUUUGUAAUUAAAUCAUAAUGUUAAUAUUUGAUAUGGAUAGAUUAUGAAUUGGGG